rnacentral:piRNA from 1 species
UGAAGACCUGCUUGAAUACAUUGGAGUGUA